GAUUAAGCCAUGCAUGUGUAAGUGUAAAUGUACUAGUUUGGAACUGCGAAUGGCUCAUUAUAUCAGUUAUAGUUUAUUUGGUGAAGUGUACUACUUGGAUAACCGUAGUAAUUCUAGGGCUAAUACAUGAGAAAGUCCUCUGGUGAGGUGUGUUUAUUAGAAUGAAAACCAUAUGCUUCGGCAUGAUAGUGAGUAAUAGUAACCUAUCGUAUCGCAUGCUUAAUGUAGCGAUGAGUCUUUCAAGUUUCUGCCCUAUCAGCUUUCGAUGGUAGCAUAUGGGUCUACCAUG
rnacentral:rRNA from 1 species